UACAGAGGGUGCGAGCGUUAAUCGGAAUUACUGGGCGUAAAGAGUACGUAGGUGGUUAAAUCAGUCGGAUGUGAAAGCCCCGGGCUUAACUUGGGAAUUGCAUUCGAUACUGUUUGACUAGAGUACGGUAGAGAGAAGCGGAAUUCCUAGUGUAGCGGUGAAAUGCGUAGAUAUUAGGAAGAACACCAGUGGCGAAGGCGGCUUCUUGGAUCGAUACUGACACUGAGGUACGAAAGCGUGGGGAGCAAACAGG
rnacentral:rRNA from 1 species